rnacentral:rRNA from 1 species
GACGAACGCUGGCGGCGUGCUUAACACAUGCAAGUCGAACGAUGAACCGGAGCUUGCUCUGGGGAUUAGUGGCGAACGGGUGAGUAACACGUGGGCAACCUGCCCCAGACACUGGGAUAACCAUUCGAAAGGAUGGCUAAUACCGGAUACGACCACUUCGGGCAUCCGAUGGUGGUGGAAAGGAUUCUGGUCUGGGAUGGGCCCGCGGCCUAUCAGCUUGUUGGUGGGGUAAUGGCCUACCAAGGCGACGACGGGUAGCCGGCCUGAGAGGGCGACCGGCCACACUGGGACUGAGACACGGCCCAGACUCCUACGGGAGGCAGCAGGGGGGAAUAUUGCGCAAUGGGCGAAAGCCUGACUCAGCGACGCCGCGUGAGGGACGAAGGUCUUCGGAUUGUAAACCUCUUUCAGCAGGGAUGAAGCGAAAGUGACAGUACCUGCAGAAGAAGCACCGGCUAACUACGUGCCAGCCGCCGCCGUAAGAC